UACGUAGGGGGCGAGCGUUGUCCGGAGUUACUGGGCGUAAAGCGCACGCAGGCGGUCUGCUAAGUUUGGAGUGACAGUUGGUGGCUUAACUGCCAAAGUGCUUCGAAAACUGACAGACUUGAGGGCUUCAGAGGGACACGGAAUUCCGGGUGGAGUGGUGAAAUGCGUAGAGAUCGGGAGGAACACCUGUGGCGAAGGCGGCCCCCUGGGCCGGCCCUGACACUGAGACGCGAAGGCGUGGGGAGCGAACGGG
rnacentral:rRNA from 1 species